rnacentral:rRNA from 1 species
UCGAGAAUCUUCGGCAAUGGGCGCAAGCCUGACCGAGCGACGCCGCGUGGAGGACGAAGGCCUUCGGGUUGUAAACUCCUGUCGAGGGGGAAGAAGGGGUAACACCUUGACUGAUCCCUGGAGGAAGCACGGGCUAAGUUCGUGCCAGCAGCCGCGGUAAGACGAACCGUGCGAACGUUAUUCGGAAUCACUGGGCUUAAAGCGCGUGUAGGCGGGACGGCACGUCGGUCGCUGAAAGCCCCCGGCUCAACCGGGGAAGGGGCGCCGAUACGACCGGCCUCGAGGGACGUAGGGGGGGCUGGAACUUCCGGUGGAGCGGUGAAAUGCGUUGAGAUCGGAAGGAACGCCCGUGGCGAAAGCGAGCCCCUGGACGUCUACUGACGCUGAGACGCGAAAGCCAGGGGAGCGAACGGGAUUAGAUACCCCGGUAGUCC